rnacentral:rRNA from 1 species
CUCACAUAAAAUCCAUCUCACCCCUUUUGUGCACCACCGCGUGGGCACCCUUUGGGAUCAAACCGAUCUCGGAGGGGGCUUGCGUUUUCACACAAACCCCCUUUUAAAAGUGUAGAAUGACCCCAUUUUUGCGAUAACCCGCAAUCAAUACAACUUUCAACAACGGAUCUCUUGGCUCUCGCAUCGAUGAAGAACGCAGCGAAAUGCGAUACGUAAUGUGAAUUGCAGAAUUCAGUGAAUCAUCGAAUCUUUGAACGCACCUUGCGCCCCUUGGUAUUCCGAGGGGCACACCCGUUUGAGUGUCGUGAAAAUCUCAACCUCCUUGGUUUCUUCUGGACACCAAAGGAGGCUUGGACUUUGGAGGGCUUUGCUGGCACCUCUCUCUUUUGAAGGCCAGCUCCUCUUAAACGAAUUAGCGGGGUCCUCUUUGCCGACCCUGGACAUGUGAUAAGAUGUUUCCAUGUCUUGGGUUUCUGGCUCUGUUGCUUUUGGGACCCGCUUCUAAUCGUCUCAACCUUGCGUCGAGACAAUGUUUUGAGGGCGUCUCCCUUCUCGGGAAACACUCUCGACCCCACGAACCCUUGACCUCAAAUCGGGUGAGACUACCCGCUGAACUUAAGCAUAUCAAUAAG